rnacentral:tRNA from 2 species
GCUGGCAUAGCUCAAUAGGUAGAGCAACUGACUUGUAAUCAGUAGGUUUCGGGUUCAAUUCCUGAUGCCAGCACCA